UCUCUUUUGCUCAACCUUUUUACAGACACGUGGAGCGACAUGGUAAGACGUUUGAAAGUCGCCAUGCAACCGCAACCAUCCCGCCGUCACCGCCUUAAUAUAACAAGGACAUGGUGAGAAGAAUCUUUGUCAGGAUGCAACUAGGUGGAGAAAAGUAUUGAUGUUCAUUGAAUAGCAAAGCAGAAACAUAUACAUAAAGUUCCAAAGGAUCACGGAUGCCUCAUGUGUGAAAAGUUUUGAUCCAUUCUUUGUCAGUAUUAAUGGCUGAAACCAGGCAAUGGAUAUUUGUUCUGCUUAUCUCUCACGUUGGAGUAUUCACUAUACGUCUAUACUAAACGAAUCUGGGUCCAAAUAGUUUUUGAGUGAGUGGUCUAGGACCAGAGAGCAGCUAUUGAUGAACACCGUGUUUCAUUCAAAAAGAGCAAGGUUCAGACAAAAGGAGGACCUUGAUGGAAAGCAGAAAGCAGUUCUGAGCUUCAAUUAGAUUGCCACACCCAAAAAGUUCUUCAUGGCUUUUGGGUGCCUAAGAAUGAUGGAACAAUUCCGUAUCCACUUUCUGCCAUCAAUGGUGCAUAGAAGAUCUGAUCAACCUCGGUAUCUACAUCUGUUCUCUUUGCAAAU